rnacentral:rRNA from 1 species
CGAAAGAUUGACCCAGUUACUUAUUAGGAUGAUAUAUAAAAAUUAUAAUUUAAUAUAUUAAAUUAAUAAUUUAAUAUAAAAAUUAUAUAAAAAUUAUAUAAAUUGAUUAAAAAUAAAGUCCAUAAAUAGUGAAAAUAAUGAUAUUAGCUACCAUAAUAAAUAUUAUGGAUAAAAUUAAUAUUUAAUUUUAUUUUAAUAGUCCUAACCAAAAUUUGUGCCAGCAGCUGCGGUAAGACAAUGGGGGCUAGCGUUAAUCAUAAUGGCUUAAAGGGUCCGUAGAAUGAAAAUAUCAAAAUUUUUUAGAGUUAAUAAAUUUAAUUAAAGAAUUAUAAUAGUAAGGAUGAAAUGAUAAUAAUCAUUAUAAGACUGGUAUGUGUGAAGGUAUUAAUUAAAUAUUAACUGACAUUGAGGGACGAAAGCUAGAGUAGCAAUACGGAUUCGAUACCCGAGUAGUUCUAGCUGUAAACUAUGAACACCAUUUAUUUCAACAAAAUAAAUAAAUGAAAAUGAAAGUGUUCCGCCUGAAGAGUACGUUCGCAAGAAUGAAACUCAAGACAAUAGACGGUUACAGACUUAAGCAGUGGAGCAU